rnacentral:rRNA from 1 species
CGGGUGCACUGAUCCAGCCGGGCCUUUCCCUCUGUGGAACCCCAUGGCCUUCACUGGCUGUGGCGGGGAAACAGGACUUUUACUUUGAAAAAAUUAGAGUGCUCCAGGCAGGCCUAUGCUCGAAUACAUUAGCAUGGAAUAAUAGAAUAGGACGUGUGGUUCUAUUUUGUUGGUUUCUAGGACCGCCGUAAUGAUUAAUAGGGACAGUCGGGGGCAUCAGUAUUCAAUUGUCAGAGGUGAAAUUCUUGGAUCUAUUGAAGACUAACUACUGCGAAAGCAUUUGCCAAGGAUGUUUUCAUUGAUAAGGAACGAAAGUUAGGGGAUCGAAGACGAUCAGAUACCGUCGUAGUCUUAACUAUAAACUAUGCCGACUAGGGAUCGGACGAUGUUAUUCUUUGACGCGUUCGGCACCUUUCGAGAAAUCAAAGUGCUUGGGCUCCAGGGGGAGUAUGGUCGCAAGGCUGAAACUUAAAGAAAUUGACGGAAGGGCACCACCAGGGGUGGAACCUGCGGCUUAAUUUGACUCAACACGGGGAAACUCACCAGGUCCAGACACAGUGAGGAUUGACAGAUUGAGAGCUCUUUCUUGAUUCUGUGGGUGGUGGUGCAUGGCCGUUCUUAGUUGGUGGAGUGAUUUGUCUGCUUAAUUGCGAUAACGAACGAGACCUUAACCUGCUAAAUAGCUCGUACUGCUUUGGCAGUUCGCCGGCUUCUUAGAGGGACUAUCGG